AUAACUGCUAUUUCCACCAAUAUAUUCACCCUCAUAAUCUCUAAUUGUAAUACUGUGCCCUCACAGCUUUUAGCACACAAUUAUCCUCGUUCCAAUCAUUGGAAUUCUUCACAUAGAACUGCCAUUCAUAUUACAGUGUUUCACACAAAUACAAAUCUAUUCUCUCUGCUAAACUACAAUCAGAUUUCAACAUUCAAUCUUUCUUCUUCUCAAAUAAUACCAAUCACAUUUCCAUUCCAUAAUUCACUUCACAAUAUUCAAAAACUUUCAAUCCUCUUAUUCAAAGAAAAUAACAAACAAAAGAAAAGAGGUAGCACCAUACUUACCUCGACUCACACUAUUACAACGAUGGCCCUCGGCUCAUGACUAUCACAGUCUGGCACUCUAAUUAACUUCUACAACUCCUAUAUACUUUCCCCUGAUUCUCCAGAUUUUAAUUGUAAUUAUGUAAUUAACCACUUUUAAUAACUAAAUCACUCA
rnacentral:lncRNA from 1 species